GCCCACAAGGUGUAACGGAGAGUCUGCACGCGCCGCUUCUAACGGCAGAGGUUCCAGGUUCGAAUCCUGGUGUGGGUACCA
rnacentral:tRNA from 1 species